AUUUAUGAGGCAGCAGAGUCUACAAGUAAAUCAUGAAUCCAGUUGAAAAUGUUAAUGAGGCCAUAGACGUGGUGAAGGAUUGAGUGACCU
ensembl:miRNA MIR6863 microRNA 6863